CACGGGGGUUGCGAGCGUCGUCCGGAAUUACUAGGCGUAAAGGGCAGGCAGGCGGAUCCAUAAGUUUAUCGUUUAAGGCGUCGGCUUAACCGGCGUAGGGCGGUAGAUACUGUGGAUCUGGAAUGCGGUUGGGGAAGACAGAAUUCCUAGUGUAGCGGUGGAAUGCGCAGAGAUCAGGAGGAAUACCGAAGGCGAAGGCAGUCUUCCAAGCCGUUAUUGACGCUCAACUGCGAAGGUGUGGGUAUCAAACAGGAUUAGAUACCCGGGUAGUCCCUGAGCGGG
rnacentral:rRNA from 1 species